rnacentral:lncRNA from 1 species
CUCAUUCUCACUCAUUCUCAAUCUUGCCAAAAGGUAUAUUCUCUCCAAAUUAAUUUUUUUUUUCAUUAAUAUGUGUUUUUGGAGUUAGUUUUGAGUUUGUGUGGGGUUUGGGGUUGAGUAUAGGGUGAGGAUUGAAGUUUGGGUUGGAUUUGUGGUAUAACAAUUUUAGGGGAGAUUAUGCUUUUUUUUUUUUCUUUUUUUUUUGUUUUUUUGUUAUUUGACCAUAUUUGUUUUUUUGUAGGGAACCAUUGACACUUUGACGGCCAAAGUUGACGAUUAGGACGCUAUCGAAACAUAUCCUCCGCUACUACCACCACAAUAGGCUUGGAUUAGGAUUUUAU